rnacentral:snRNA from 1 species
ACUUAUUUUUGGUCUUUUAACUAAGAUCAAGUGUAAUAUUUGUUGUACCAGUUCAAUAUCUGGUAUAUGAACAAUAUGUUUACUUUGACAUUGAAUUUAUUUAUUACGAUAU